rnacentral:rRNA from 1 species
CGUGGUCUUUUUGUUGGUUUCUAGGACCGCCGUAAUGAUUAAUAGGGAUAGUCGGGGGCGUCAGUAUUCAGCUGUCAGAGGUGAAAUUCUUGGAUUUGCUGAAGACUAACUACUGCGAAAGCAUUCGCCAAGGAUGUUUUCAUUAAUCAGGGAACGAAAGUUAGGGGAUCGAAGACGAUCAGAUACCGUCGUAGUCUUAACCAUAAACUAUGCCGACUAGGGAUCGGACGGGAUUCUAUGAUGACCCGUUCGGCACCUUACGAGAAAUCAAAGUUUUUGGGUUCUGGGGGGAGUAUGGUCGCAAGGCUGAAACUUAAAGAAUUGACGGAAGGGCACCACAAGGCGUGGAGCCUGCGGCUUAAUUUGACUCAACACGGGGAAACUCACCAGGUCCAGACAAAAUAAGGAUUGACAGAUUGAGAGCUCUUUCUUGAUCUUUUGGAUGGUGGUGCCUGGACGUUCUUAUUUGGUGGACCGUCUGUCCCUGGUCAGCUAAUUUAACGAAAGACCACGACGUUUUA